GGAACACGUGAGAAAUCUGCCUUCAACACUGGGAUAACUCCGGGAAACCGGGGCUAAUACCGGAUAUGAAACCUGCGGCAUCCGCGGGUUUGGAAAGUUUUUCGGUUGAAGAUGAUCUCGCGGCCUAUCAGCUUGUUGGUGAGGUAAUGGCUCACCAAGGCGACGACGGGUAGCCGGCCUGAGAGGGCGACCGGCCACACUGGGACUGAGACACGGCCCAGACUCCUACGGGAGGCAGCAGUGGGGAAUAUUGGGCAAUGGAGGAAACUCUGACCCAGCGACGCCGCGUGCGGGAUGAAGGCCUUCGGGUUGUAAACCGCUUUCAGCAGGGAAGAAGCGAAAGUGACGGUACCUGCAGAAGAAGCACCGGCUAACUAUGUG
rnacentral:rRNA from 1 species